AGCCCAAUGCAGGGCUUGAACUUGUGAACCUCGAGAUCAUGACCUGAGCCAAAGUUGGCCACUUAGCCACCUGAGCCACUCAGGCACCCCUCACAUUUGAUCCUUACAACAGAUCCUGGAAGUAUCACACAGUGGCUAUAGCAAGGAGGGCUUGAACUGAACUAUGUCUGCAUGGAGCACAACCAAAGAAGAGUCAAGUGUGCAAAAGAAUAACAAGUCAAUGGUGUUCUCCAGGGCUGUCCGUUAGAGAGCAUAGACUCAGGAUAUCACCCUCUUCUUACCUUGUUAGCUGCUCCUGCUCGGUCCGUUGCUGGCUGCUCUUUACCUCCACAACCUUCUGAUGUUGCAGUGUCCCAGAUCCCAGUCCUUGGACCUCUUCUCUUUCUUACCUCCCUCAUCCAAUGUGGGAGCUUAAUAAGUCGGUGACCCAUCUGAGCUGGCAUCAGAGGAAGGAUCAGGGUGCUCAAAAGAAGGGCCUUGGAUGAUGGCCUCCAAGGCACCCUCUUUCUGUGAAAGGGAGCAAGAGGAAUCAGUCAAGUUUCCUCACUGUGAUGGGCCGAGGAGCUCUGUGUAUUCCCUGUGGAUAGUGGCCUGCCACUGGAGAGGCCACAGGCUGGAGCAAGGAGCUGACUCAUAGGGUAAGGAGAAAAUGGCCUGGAUCUUUCACAGAGAUUCAAGUAAUUCCUAGUACUCUACCUUCAGUGGGACACUUCUAAAAAUGAAUAAAGAAUUCCAACAAAUCAAUAAGAAAAAGACAAACAACCCAAAAGAAAAAUGGAUACAAGAAAUGAACCAGAAAAUCAAAGAAGAAGAAAUGGCCAAUAAUGAUACGAAAAGAUGAAUGAUCUGUAUUAUAGUCUUUUGCAACUUGCUGUUUGCAAUACAACACUAUGACUCUAAGCUUUUCAUCCACCCGUGGUAUUGUGUGUGGCAAUAUUCAUUUUCACUAGUGUGACAGUAUUUCAUUGGACUUCCCACAGGGUUCUUCCACACAGAACCAUCUGGCCCUCUCGUGCAACUGCAUUCAGCGGGACUGGGCUGGAUGGUCAAGAUGGCCCCACCCUCAAGGCUGCUAUGCCUUGGACCUUUUCUACUUGAUUUCUCUCACCAUGUGGUGUCUCAUCCUCCAGGGCCUCUUUUUCCAUGUGGCCUUUCCCUCCAGCAGGGUAGACUGGAUGUUCUUUACAAGGAGAAAACACCCACACAGUACUUAUGUAAUUAAAACUUAAUUACAAUUAAAAUAUAUUACCUAAU